rnacentral:sRNA from 1 species
CUGCGUUAGGGAUUGAACGGUAUGUUUGAGCUCUUUUUUGUUUUUCUCAAAAAAAGCGAGUAGUGAAAGCCCGACCUUUA